GUUGUGAACACAAAUGAUUACUGUGCAAAGACCUCAGAGAAUCAACCAGAGGGCUCAUCACAUCGAUGCUGAGUGCAACUGCUGAGGCUACUUAUUUCCACUUGGUGAAGCAGAACCCUGUUGCUACCCAUUUCACAUCUCAGGUAAAGUUAAUAAUGAUAUAGCAAAAUCUAUGAUAUUUGAAAUGGCAAAAUCUAUUGCUAUUGACCUCACUUUGAGCCCUAAAGUUCAUAUUUUCAAAUUAAGAGUGCCAAAAAAGAGAAAAUCUAGGAAAGCAAAAACACUCAAAUACCUGAGUUACAAUUCCUCUGUGUUACAAUUUCUUAGAUCAUCUCUCUUUUUCUCUCUCUCUCUCUGUCUCUCUUUUUCUCUCUCUUUCUGUCUGUCUGUCUGUCUGUCUGUCUGUCUGUCUGUCUGUCUGUCUGACUGACUCACUCACUCACUCACUCACUCACUCUGUUCAAAGUCUGUACCAAUUGGUUGCUUGUGUGGAGGUGUGGUCAGGCUCAUCAAAACAUUGUAUGUCUGUGCAUAUUUUACAAUACGCCUGUAAUUCUGCAUUCUGUAAUAAUGAGUGGUUAUGUUCAAAAGCCUAGCUGUAUGCUAAUGUUAUGCAUGUGUUAACUUAUACAUAGCCUACUCGUCGUAUGCUUCUCUUGUGAUGUCACAACAAGGAUAGCCUGGCACCAGCUUUGUUCCAGAGCAUGUCUCUAUUUUCACAAAGAUUUCAUCAGUGACCCUCAAUGAUUAACAAAUACACUGAAAUGGACAUUGUAGAUACCAAUAUUAUAAUUGUAAUUUAUCAUGAACUGACCUACCACUUUUUAUCCUCCUGGACCAGCUGUUCAAGCCUAUAUGGUACCUUUAUUUAACUAGGCAUGUCAGUUAAGAACAAAUUCUAAUUUUAAAUGACGACCUAGGAACAGUGGGUUAACUGUCUGUUCAGGGGCAGAAGGACAGAUUUGUACCUUGUCAACUCGGGGAUUUGAACUUGCAACCUUUCGGUUACUAAUCCAACGCUCUAACCACUAGGCUACCCUGCCUUCCCCUGCACCACUAAUAACAGGAUUCGAUGUUAUAUCGUUACACUCAACAAAUUGGCCUGGUGGAUCGGUGGUCAGUUAAACCAGCAUCUAUUGGUUAGUGAGAAGGGGAGGACACGGUGUGUGUUGUGUUGGAGAUAGGGAGCUUAGGGAUGGGCAUGGGGAUGUGCAGAGGCAAAGAAUUGUUGUUGCGCCCUCAAAGUUCACAUCACCUCAUCAUCUGCAUUAAUCUUAGCCUCUUGUCUCCUAUGUUUUUCUCAGCUUCUUCUAUGUCUACCCUAUGAAAAACAUGUACUAUGUACGGCUACCCCACUGUCCAAAAGUUCCUCUUUCUAGUUGUAAAGGGCUGACCGGUUGCCAGUUGAAGGCUGGGAAAAUGCCAACACCAGAUCAUUUGAGUGUACAUUUCAGGAUUUCAACAUUUCUUUCCAGCCUUCCCAGUCAUAUCAUACUGAAUACAGAAAGACAUUCGGUCUCUGGUUGUGUAAUCACUUUAUUUUCGCAACACUUUUGAAAUACAUUGUAUACUAAGUUUCAGUACCAUGUACCUGUCUAUUAGCAGAAGAUUUGGGCAAAAUAAUUUUUGAGAAUAUGACAUUUUUACCAAAAGCAGUAAUUAAGUGAAAUAUGUUUGUUUGGAAUGUGGUCCUUCAGUUUGACUAGUAACCUCCUUUUUUUUAGGUUCAGUAGUUCUUGGGGAGUCCUUGGGGUCUGAAUCGGUUGGGGUCCCGUCCAUUACGUCCCCAGCGGUUAGCCUGCUGGUCAGCUGCUGAGUCCUCAUGUCCUCGACCACUGGAACCCUGAACCAUCUCCCGGCCAUUACUGAGAGAGGAGAAAUAUUACAUUAGUAACUCGCCAACCACAGUAAACCAAUAAUGGUCAAAUUGUCUUUCUGACCAGACAGGGUUUUUUUUGUACAAAAAGUGGCAUAAAGAUCUAAUUAGAGAAAGGAGAAUGUUUUUAUGAGAUAAUUUGAUGACCAACUGAACCACAUUAUAAGCAUCACACAGAUAUUUGAGAAUCACCCACCUGAUGACUGUUGCUGCCCACCUGCCCCCUGGUCCUCUCCUGGCAGCAUCAUAGUUGCCCCGAGCAUGGAAGUACUUGUCUGAGUUUUUCCAGUUGGCGUCCUUCAUGUCGCCAUAUGCACGCCACAUGUCUUUAGCACCUGCAGGGUCAGGAGGACACAGAUGUUGAGUUUGACACUUUCAAUGAACUUUACAACUUUUCAAACCACUAGCCUCAAGAAAUAACAAUGAGUUUAAAGGAGUCCUCAAAUACAGUACAUGUCGCUCUUGAUAGAUUUGUUGCUACUGGUUUCUGUAUCUAUUUCUGUCAACAAUGAAGAAACAAUGAUUAAAGUGUAUAAACGGA